rnacentral:misc_RNA from 1 species
GAUGAAGAACCCAGCGAAAUGCGAUAAGUAGUGUGAAUUGCAGAAUUCAGUGAAUCAUCGAAUCUUUGAACGCACAUUGCGCCCCAUGGUAUCCCGAGGGGCAUGCCUGUUCGAGCGUCAUUUCACCACUCAAGCCUGGCUUGGUGUUGGGCGACGUCCUCUUUGGGGACGCGCCUCGAAACGCUCGGCGGCGUGGCACCGGCUUUAAGCGUAGCAGAAUCUUUCGCUUUGGAAGUCGGGGCCCCGUCUGCCGGAAGACCUGCUCGCAAGGUUGACCUCGGAUCAGGCAGGGAUACCCGCUGAACUUAAGCAUAUCAAUAAGCGGAGGA